UGCUAUAGAGGCAGCUGAUAUAGUUCUGAUGAAGAGCAACUUGGAGGAUGUGAUUACUGCUAUAGACCUUUCCAGGAAGACUUUUUCCCGCAUUCGUCUGAACUAUAUUUGGGCUCUGGGUUAUAAUCUACUAGGCAUCCCAAUAGCAGCUGGGGCACUUUUCCCAGGUACUGGAUUCCGUUUACCCCCAUGGAUUGCUGGAGCUGCCAUGGCAGCUUCUUCAGUCAGUGUGGUGGUGUGUUCCCUCCUGUUAAAAAAUUACAAGAGACCCAGGAUGCUGGAAAACCUAGAGAUUCGUGCAAUAAGGAUCGAGUGACUGAGGACUGGUUGUCGAACAAGUUUUAUUUAUAUUUUUCCAGGAGG
rnacentral:misc_RNA from 1 species